GGGACUCCUGACCCAGGUGUGUGCUGAUGAUAAUGAUGUGGUGUUGAGGGCCCCCUCCCUGGUCCACCUCUGGCCUCCUGUGCAAUGAAGUGAGAGUGAGGAGAGGGCAGAGGAGGGCAGCAGGCUCUGGCUGCAGGAACUCCUGGGUCUUGAUAGAAGCAGAGCAGGGCAUGAACUCAGUUCACCUGCCCCUCCACACUGUCCAUCAGCUGGGAAGCAGAUUAAGGUGCCUGCACCUUGGGGACACUCUGCUGGAAAGAUCUCUCCACCAGCACAGCAGGUCUUUGGGCCUCGAAUGGCCAAUUAGGUGAAGUUGUUUGUGUUCUGGCCUCUAAAGUGUCCUGGGACUUCGGCUUCUACUGUGUCCCCUGUGGCCACCCUUUUUCUGACCCUUCUCACCUGCAGGGCUGGGAACCGAACCCGGAAAUUCCUCUGAACCCCAGAGCAAUGAACAGGAGAAAUCCAAGCAAUGAAGAUGUGGCAAAGGAAAAAAAGAAACUUUAACCGGUGUAAAAACCUCAGUCUUAUCUAGAACCGGAUGGAUUCUCUACAGACGUGUGUGCGUGCUGGAAGCCAAGCUGCCAGGAGCCAGCACGAGGAGUCCCGCCAGUGGCAAAGGUCAUGAGGAAGAGACCCGACAGGCAAAGAUGAGAAAGGUGAGUGCUGUGACUGGAGUUCUGGGCAUCAUCUCCCGUGCAAAUGUCCUCCAUGCCCUGGGAAUGAUGGAGCAGGAGCCCAAGAGAGUUUCUGCCCCAAACGGAACCAAGAUUCUGCCUCAGACCCCUGCCCCCUCUCCUGUGUGAGAAGCACUCAGCCAAAAU
ensembl:lncRNA